AAUCAACGCUGGCGGCGUGCCUCAGACAUGCAAGUCGAACGAUUAAGACUUCCUUCGGGAAGUGCAUAAAGUGGCGCACGGGUGAGUAACACGUAAGUAAUCUACCCUCGAGUGGGGAAUAACGUUCGGAAACGAGCGCUAAUACCGCAUAAUGCAGCGGCAUCGCAAGAUGACAGUUGUUAAAGGAGUAAUACGCUUGAGGAGGAGCUUGCGGCAGAUUAGCUAGUUGGUAAGGUAACGGCUUACCAAGGCUACGAUCUGUAUCCGGUCUAAGAGGACGGUCGGACACACUGACACUGAAUAACGGGUCAGACUCCUACGGGAGGCAGCAGUCGGGAAUUUUGGGCAAUGGGCGAAAGCCUGACCCAGCAACGCCGCGUGAAGGAUGAAGUAUUUCGGUAUGUAAACUUCGAAAGAAUGGGAAGAAUAAAUGACGGUACCAUUUAUAAGCUCCGGCUAACUACGUGCCAGCCGCCGCCGUAAGAC
rnacentral:rRNA from 1 species